UACGAAGGGGGCUAGCGUUGUUCGGAUUUACUGGGCGUAAAGCGCACGUAGGCGGGUCGAUCAGUCAGGGGUGAAAUCCCAGAGCUCAACUCUGGAACUGCCUUUGAUACUGUCGAUCUGGAGUAUGGAAGAGGUGAGUGGAAUUCCGAGUGUAGAGGUGAAAUUCGUAGAUAUUCGGAGGAACACCAGUGGCGAAGGCGGCUCACUGGUCCAUUACUGACGCUGAGGUGCGAAAGCGUGGGGAGCAAACAGG
rnacentral:rRNA from 1 species